CGGCAGGCUUAACACAUGCAAGUCGAGCGGGGAAGGGUAGCUUGCUACCUAACCUAGCGGCGGACGGGUGAGUAAUGCUUAGGAAUCUGCCAUUUAGUGGGGGACAACAUUCCGAAAGGAAUGCUAAUACCGCAUACGUCCUACGGGAGAAAGCAGGGGAUCUUCGGACCUUGCGCUAAAUGAUGAGCCUAAGUCGGAUUAGCUAGUUGGUGGGGUAAAGGCCUACCAAGGCGACGAUCUGUAGCGGGUCUGAGAGGAUGAUCCGCCACACUGGGACUGAGACACGGCCCAGACUCCUACGGGAGGCAGCAGUGGGGAAUAUUGGACAAUGGGCGGAAGCCUGAUCCAGCCAUGCCGCGUGUGUGAAGAAGGCCUUUUGGUUGUAAAGCACUUUAAGCGAGGAGGAGGCUCUUCUAGUUAAUACCUAGGAUGAGUGGACGUUACUCGCAGAAUAAGCACCGGCUAACUCUGUGCCAGCAGCCGCGGUAAUACAGAGGGUGCGAGCGUUAAUCGGAUUUACUGGGCGUAAAGCGUGCGUAGGCGGCUUUUUAAGUCGGAUGUGAAAUCCCCGAGCUUAACUUGGGAAUUGCAUUCGAUACUGGGAAGCUAGAGUAUGGGAGAGGAUGGUAGAAUUCCAGGUGUAGCGGUGAAAUGCGUAGAGAUCUGGAGGAAUACCGAUGGCGAAGGCAGCCAUCUGGCCUAAUACUGACGCUGAGGUACGAAAGCAUGGGGAGCAAACAGGAUUAGAUACCCUGGUAGUCCAUGCCGUAAACGAUGUCUACUAGCCGUUGGGGCCUUUGAGGCUUUAGUGGCGCAGCUAACGCGA
rnacentral:rRNA from 1 species